rnacentral:rRNA from 1 species
AUUGAACGCUGGCGGCAGGCCUAACACAUGCAAGUCGAACGGUAGCACAGAGAGCUUGCUCUCGGGUGACGAGUGGCGGACGGGUGAGUAAUGUCUGGGAAACUGCCCGAUGGAGGGGGAUAACUACUGGAAACGGUAGCUAAUACCGCAUAACGUCGCAAGACCAAAGUGGGGGACCUUCGGGCCUCACACCAUCGGAUGUGCCCAGAUGGGAUUAGCUAGUAGGUGGGGUAAUGGCUCACCCAGGCGACGAUCCCUAGCUGGUCUGAGAGGAUGACCAGCCACACUGGAACGGAGACACGGUCCAGAAUCCUACGGGAGGCAGCAGUGGGGAAUAUUGCACAAUGGGCGCAAGCCUGAUGCAGCCAUGCCGCGUGUAUGAAGAAGGCCUUCGGGUUGUAAAGUACUUUCAGCGGGGAGGAAGGCGGUGAAGUUAAUAGCUUCACCGAUUGACGUUACCCGCAGAAGAAGCACCGGCUAACUCCGUGCCAGCCGCCGCCGUAA